AUCCCAUUCCUGAAGGAAGAUGUUCAAGGAGUAUGUCCGAAAAUCAGAAGGCACCUGCUUCCAGGAAGAAAGCCUAUGCUUCAACCAGCCUAAAUCUACUUCAGGCAAGGGAACUCAGAAGAGAUGCAACCUGAGAGAUUGACUCACGUGUUUUGAACCAGGACCUCCAGCACACUUUGGAGAGUGGCCAUGAGAGCUGAGGAGGCUAUACUGUAGCCAUUAAGCAGUAGAUAAAAGUGAACCACUGAGGAUGUCAACAUACAAGGAUGGAAAGAGUCUGGGUCACUGAUGACACUGUUUAUGUUGGGACAACCACCUACCUCUCAAUUUCUUGUAGGUUAACAGUCUACUUGGAUGGCUCAGUUAAGUGCUCAAACGUAACAGAGCCUCUGAGUCUGAGCUUACCACGCGACCACCCAGUAAGAUACUACAUUUCCCAUCUCCCUCAAAGGAUCCAGUCAAGGACCAUGCAGUGACUCUUCCAGAUGAGACCUUAAGAAAGAACUCCUCAACAGAGCCCAGUCAACUUACAAAACAAGAGGU